GACGAACGCUGGCGGCGUGCUUAACACAUGCAAGUCGAACGGAAAGGCCCUGCUUUUGUGGGUUGCUCGAGUGGCGAACGUGUGAGUAACACGUGAGUCACCUGCCCUUGACUUUGGUAUAACUUCAGGAAACUGGGGCUAAUACCGGAUAUGAGCUCCUGCUGCAUGGUGGGGGUUGGAAAGUUUCGGCGGUUGGGGAUGGACUCGCGGCUUUUCAGCUUGUUGGUGGGGUAGUGGCUUACCAAGGCUUUGACGGGUAGCCGGCCUGAGAGGGUGACCGGCCACAUUGGGACUGAGAUACGGCCCAGACUCCUACGGGAGGCAGCAGUGGGGAAUAUUGCACAAUGGGCGGAAGCCUGAUGCAGCAACGCCGCGUGCGGGAUGAAGGCCUUCGGGUUGUAAACCGCUUUCGGCUGUGACGAAGCGUGAGUGACGGUAAUGGGUAAAGAAGCACCGGCUAACUACGUG
rnacentral:rRNA from 1 species